UGUGAAGCCCAGAACAGAAGAGGACGUCAUAACUCCACCUUACAUCUGACUGUUGUGUCAGGUUCAAUGGCAUCGGCAGCUGCUGGAUCAAUCACUGCUAUUUUUCUGGCUCUCAUAUUCCUCCUUGCUUUCCUAUUGAUUAGAAGAAAGAGGUCCUUGAAACAAACCACAGAGCCUGGAGGGAGACCAGACAACGCAGCACAGCUAAACAUGGGUUUAGUGGGCAA